ACGCUCGACACCUACGGGAGGCAGCAGUGGGGAAUAUUGCACAAUGGGGGGAACCCUGAUGCAGCGACGCCGCGUGAGUGAAGAAGUACUUCGGUAUGUAAAGCUCUAUCAGCAGGGAAGAAAAUGACGGUACCUGACUAAGAAGCCCCGGCUAACUACGUGCCAGGAGCCGCGGUAAUCUGAGCGGGCUGGCAAGGCC
rnacentral:rRNA from 1 species